rnacentral:rRNA from 1 species
AAUGGAUUCGCGCUGAGGAAAGUGGCGAACGGGCGAGUAACGCGUGAGCAACCUACCUUGUACUGGGGGAUAACGUCGGGAAACCGGCGCUAAUACCGCAUAACAUUACGAUAGCGCAUGUUAUUGUAAUCAAAGCUUUAGUGGUACGAGACGGGCUCGCGUCCAAUUAGCUAGUUGGUGAGGUAAAGGCUCACCAAGGCGACGAUUGGUAGCCGAACUGAGAGGUUGAUCGGCCGCAUUGGGACUGAGACACGGCCCAGACUCCUACGGGAGGCAGCAGUGGGGAAUAUUGCGCAAUGGGGGAAACCCUGACGCAGCGACGCCGCGUGAAGGAAGAAGGCCUUCGGGUUGUAAACUUCUUUGAUCGGGGACGAAGAUGACGGUACCCGAGGAACAAGCCACGGCUAACUACGUGCCAGCAGCCGCGGUAAUACGUAGGUGGCAAGCGUUGUCCGGAAUUACUGGGCGUAAAGGGCGUGUAGGCGGGGGGACAAGUCAGAUGUGAAAUACCGCGGCUUAACUGCGGGGGUGCAUCUGAAACUGUUCUUCUUGAGUGUCGGAGAGGAAAGUGGAAUUCCCAGUGUAGCGGUGAAAUGCGUAGAGAUUGGGAGGAACACCAGUGGCGAAGGCGGCUUUCUGGACGAUAACUGACGCUGAGGCGCGAAAGCGUGGGGAGCAAACAGGAUUAGAUACCCUGGUAGUCCCAGCUGUAAACUCUGGGUACUAGGUGUGGGGGGCUUCGAUGCCCUCUGUGCCGUAGUUAACGCAUUAAGUACCCCGCCUGGGGAGUACGAUCGCAAGGUUGAAACUCAAAGGAAUUGACGGGGGCCCGCACAAGCGGUGGAGCAUGUGGUUUAAUUCGAUGCAACGCGAAGAACCUUACCAGGGCUUGACAUACAGACGAAUGGUGUGGAAACACAUCAGACCUUCGGGACGUCUGUACAGGUGGUGCAUGGUUGUCGUCAGCUCGUGUCGUGAGAUGUUGGGUUAAGUCCCGCAACGAGCGCAACCCUUGCCUUUAGUUGCCAUCAUUAAGUUGGGCACUCUAAAGGGACUGCCGGUGAUAAACCGGAGGAAGGUGGGGAUGACGUCAAAUCAUCAUGCCCCUUAUGUCUUGGGCUACACACGUGCUACAAUGGUCUGUACAGAGGGAAGCGAAGCAGCAAUGUGAAGCGAAUCCCAGAAAACAGAUCUCAGUUCGGAUUGUAGGCUGCAACUCGCCUAUAUGAAGCUGGAAUCGCUAGUAAUCGCAGGUCAGCAUACUGCGGUGAAUACGUUCCCGGGCCUUGUACACACCGCCCGUCACACCACGAAAGUUUGCAACACCCAAAGCCGGUGGCCUAACCGUAA